GCCCGGCUGGCGCAAUCGGUAGCGCGCAAGACUUCUACCUUCCUGCUCACCCAGUCAGAAGGAAGUCAUAAUCUUGAGGCUGUGGGUUCGAGUCCCACGUCGGGUG